rfam:Gossypium arboreum cultivar AKA8401 contig_11620_1, whole genome shotgun sequence.
AUCCCAUGUUGAGGACACUUACGAAGUAACUCCUUGAAUCACUCCCAAGCCUCAUACAAAAACUCUCCAAUUGUUGGAAAGUUGUGAUCUUGUUCCUCAACUU